CUGAGGGUGGUCACCGAGUCUCUCCAGCUCCCCAAGAUGUCCUGGUGGUGUCAUCCCCGGGGCCCACCUGCUUCUCCUGCAUUUCCUUCCAUCCUGAGCUCCCCCUCAGUCUGGAGACGAAGCCCCUUUCUGCUCAAGGCUGACAGAGCCCGCUUAAGUUGCUAACAACCACACAAACCCAACUAAAAUUGAAUGCCAAUCCUGGCUCUGCCCAGACUCGCUCGGCUUCUGGAAAGACCACCCUUCCUCCUUCUGGUUCCCUUCAAGGAAGGACCUUCAUGGCCCCCAAGUACCACAAAUCCUAGGCUGAGCCUGGGCACAGAGCGGAUUUCCCUCUCUGGGCACACACCUAUGGGGGGCGGGGGUGGGGAGCAGCAUUCCCCUCCGCUGCAGAAGGAGCUCCAUCUAUGUUGGCAACCCGAUUCGAAUCCCGGUUCCACCACCUUCAAGCUUCGUGGCUGCAGCACCUCUUUCUGAGCCUCAGUUUCCCCAUCUGGAGAGUGGAAUUCAGAGUGGGGGGGGUGGAGCGGGCAGCAUGGUCUGGUUCUGCCGAGGCUCCGGGCCACUUGCCCUUCCUGGUCCCACAGAUGUUCAGCCCAUUCGGGGCAUGCUCGGGUGCCCCCCUCCCGGCCCUGGGCUUUGCCUGAGCUGCAAAGGAUGAUGGGAUGGGAGCCCUCAGAGGUGCCGCCUUGGCCGCAUCUCGCUGGAACCACAGUGGAGCUCCUGGGCCAUGUCUGGAGGGCGGGGUAGGUGAUCCUCGUGGGCUGGAAGCUCCUGUGAGAAUACCCCAUUUACAGGUGAGGGGGCUCGCAGGGGGAGUGGCCGGCCAAGCCCUGCGACAUAGAGAGAUUUUAACCUGGAGAACCACGCCAGUAACACCAAGGGCCCUCCUACACUCUGCUCUGCCCCCAUUUACCUGAGUCCUUACUGCGUGCCAGGCAAUCACUGACCUACUUUAAUCCAACAACAGCCUAAGAGGAGGGUAUAUUGAUCCCCAAUUUUUAGGAAACAGAGAGGUUGAUGCACUUGCUCAAGGUCACACAGUUUGCAAAGAGUGGAACCUGACUUUGAACUCAGGCCACCUGCCUCCAGAGCCUGUGCUCUUGGCCAAUCUCCUCUGCCCCCGGCUUGGGAUCCAAGCUCUGUAGAGAGGGCCGGGGCCACCUGGGGUUAGCCGCUUAAGCCCCAGAGGCCCAGAGUGAGGGAAAAAUCUCCAGCACCCCGCGGGUCCGCGAGGGCUGUGCGGUCAUCACUACCACCGGGUGCAGGGAGCUCAGAGGGGCCAAGCCUCUGACUCUAGGGAGCGCAGCCGGCUCCGCGCCCCCUGGCUCCCUGUCCAGGGGCUCCACAGAGGCCGUGGUCGGAAGGACCCCCAAGCCAGCUGGGUCCCCUGACAGACGGACAGAGGACCUCUCUCCACACGCAGCCUCCCGCCCCGGGGAUGCGGGCAGCGCGGCCUGCCACCUCCUCCGGAGCAGGUUUCCUUUAAGACGGCAGAAGAUUGAUUUCCUGGCAGGCUGCGCGCGAGGAGCGUCCACGCGGUUUGCAUGUCUGCAUUUUUACGGCUCCGUUUAAUAUGUAUGCAAAUACCCGCCGCCGCCGCCGCCGCGCACGCGGCCGUCCCGGCCCGGCGCUGGGAGGCCUGAUAGAUGGGGCGGGACGGAGACAAAUGACGGGCUUUUCUAAUUUCUUUCUCUUUUCCGGAGGCUGGGGAGAGGGGGGCUCAAGACUGGAAACCACAGAGGAGAUUUAAAUAUAUGCAAAAUUGUUGUGGGUUGGGGCGGGGUCUGGAAACCUGAGCCGGGAGGAGAGCAUUCCGUGUUUUCCUCGGUGGCAGUCGCGCAGGAGGUGGCCCAGCCCCCUGAGACCCCUGUCACCUCCGGCGGAGGGAGCGGCUUUGCUCCGGAGAAGCCGACUGCUUCCUCGGGAAGCGCAGCCUCAGCGCAGAAAGAAGGAAAAUGCGGGUUCUUUUCGGCCCCAUCCGCCAGGAGGCCGCUGCGUGUGUCCAUCGCACCCCCACUUAUUUCGUUGGGCUUCCAGAGCUUAUAACUUUAUAGGUGUGAUGUCACUUAACUCUCACGGUUGCCCUAGGAGGUACAUCACACCCAUUGUACAGAUAGGGAAACUGAGGCUCGCAAGAGUAAGGUCCUUGGGGAGAGUUGCAGAGGGAGGUGGGGGGAUGCACUCCCAGAACCGCAGCCCUCAGCCAUCUCCAGCUCUGUGGGGUGUGCUCCCAGCUAUGGGGGGUGGGGCGGGCGCGGAAUGUGCCCAGACUAACCCCCAACACACAACCCAUGCUCCCCCAUCCCACCUGCCCCACCUGCCCCCACCUGCCUGACUCAGACUGAGCCUGCAUCACAUAAGCCCGCAUCAGAUGGGGCCUGAGACUGAGCCCCAAAUUUUCAAAAUAUUAUUUAGGCCUAAAAUUUGAGGUGUAGUUUUAAUGGAAUCUUUCCUAAUUUCUGAGGAUUUCAGGUGACGGACGGGGUAGCUGGGGGCAGCCUGGAGAGUCCUGUGAGGACGGAAACGUUUCACAGAGGGGGCGCCAGCCUAGAGAGGGGGCUUCUGGAGCAGACAGCUCAGGCCCUCUGGGGACCCGAGUCCACGUUUGUGUGGAGUGUAUGUGUCAGUGUGUGUGUGAGGCUGGGAUUGUGUGUCCGUGCACACACGUGUGUGUCAGUGAGCGUGUGCAUCGAGGUGGCAGCAGCUGAGACCGCCAUACUGGCAGCUGGCAUGCGAAUUUCCCUGCGGGCUCCCAUCCCCGUGGGGUUUGGGCCUCCUGUCUCCCCCACCCCCACCCGAACCUG
ensembl:lncRNA